rnacentral:rRNA from 1 species
GACGUAGGGUGCGAGCGUUGUCCGGAUUUAUUGGGCGUAAAGAGCUCGUAGGCGGCUCGUCGCGUCGACCGUGAAAACCCGCGGCUUAACUGCGGGCUUGCGGUUGAUACGGGCGGGCUAGAGUUCGGUAGGGGAGACUGGAAUUCCUGGUGUAGCGGUGAAAUGCGCAGAUAUCAGGAGGAACACCGGUGGCGAAGGCGGGUCUCUGGACGGUUUCUGACGCUAAGACGCGAAAGCGUGGGGAGCAAACAGG